AUCGCCAAUCUCCACGGGAUCCAUGAGCUGGUACCACCCCACUUCACUAUGCUGCUUGUGGUGUAAAUGCUGUCUGUUUUCAAGGAUGUUGAGGAAGCAGAAGUUGCGGCAUACUUGGAAGGGAUUCGGCAAAAGCAGAAGCUGCGGCAUGCUUGAGUCUAACAGCUUGUUUUUCUUUUUGACAUGUGCGACUACAACCUACUUGCUCUUGGUGGCAUCGAUGACACAUGAAGCAAGUAGAAUGAGCAUGCAAAAUGAAGUUCUUUGAUCCAAAUGAACUCACAAGUUUUGUCAUUAGGUCCUGUCAAAGACUGAGUAUUAUUUUCAAGUUUGUUUAUUUGUGUUCCUGCAUAAUAGACAUUUGUGUGUUCCUGUAACUACAACCUACUUGUUUAUUUGUUGAACUCGGCAUAAUAUAGCUCGCUUUGGCUAAGAAAAAUGUUGUUGACUUUAUUUGUGUGUUCCUGUAGUAAUAAUGGAUCUAAAACUUUUGAAACUAAGUAUUAUGUGGGUAAAUCAUUUUUUAUUGUUUGAUUAGUAAUAGUCAUUAUGUUGAUUUUGGUAUUUGUUUGGGCAUUAGGGUUUUCUACUAUACAAUCAGUAUGGGACAACCAUUUGAAUUGAAAAAAAAUGUUUUACUAACAUACUUUUGCUUAAGCUUAAUAGAAGGGGAACCAGCAAAGGCGAUGCUGGAGAGACAUUGCUCGAUGCUGUCACAGCUGGUGAUCAUCUCAAUAUGGACAUUCAAAUGGAGGAAGGAAAUUUUACUCUGUGCACGUGUUUGUGUAAUCGACAAAAUAACUCUAUAUAUUGUGUGAAACAUAUUUCUCAGUUAGGACUAUGAAUCAUGCAUUAUUUGGUGCA